AGCGAACGCUGGCGGCAGGCCUAACACAUGCAAGUCGAACGGACCCUUCGGGGUUAGUGGCGGACGGGUGAGUAACACGUGGGAACGUGCCUUUAGGUUCGGAAUAGCUCCUGGAAACGGGUGGUAAUGCCGAAUGUGCCCUUCGGGGGAAAGAUUUAUCGCCUUUAGAGCGGCCCGCGUCUGAUUAGCUAGUUGGUGAGGUAAUGGCUCACCAAGGCGACGAUCAGUAGCUGGUCUGAGAGGAUGACCAGCCACAUUGGGACUGAGACACGGCCCAAACUCCUACGGGAGGCAGCAGUGGGGAAUCUUGCGCAAUGGGCGAAAGCCUGACGCAGCCAUGCCGCGUGAAUGAUGAAGGUCUUAGGAUUGUAAAAUUCUUUCACCGGGGACGAUAAUGACGGUACCCGGAGAAGAAGCCCCGGCUAACUUCGUGCCAG
rnacentral:rRNA from 1 species